rnacentral:rRNA from 2 species
GGGUUGUGAGGUUAAGCGACUAAGCGUACACGGUGGAUGCCCUGGCAGUCAGAGGCGAUGAAGGGCGUGCUAAUCUGCGAUAAGCGCCGGUAAGGUGAUAUGAACCGUUAUAACCGGCGAUACCCGAAUGGGGAAACCCAGUGUGACUCGUCACACUAUCAUUAACUGAAUCCAUAGGUUAAUGAGGCGAACCGGGGGAACUGAAACAUCUAAGUACCCCGAGGAAAAGAAAUCAACCGAGAUUCCCCCAGUAGCGGCGAGCGAACGGGGAGGAGCCCAGAGCCUGAAUCAGCAUGUGUGUUAGUGGAAGCGUCUGGAAAGGCGCGCGAUACAGGGUGACAGCCCCGUACACAAAAGCGCAUGUGCUGUGAGCUCGAUGAGUAGGGCGGGACACGUGGUAUCCUGUCUGAAUAUGGGGGGACCAUCCUCCAAGGCUAAAUACUCCUGACUGACCGAUAGUGAACCAGUACCGUGAGGGAAAGGCGAAAAGAACCCCGGCGAGGGGAGUGAAAAAGAACCUGAAACCGUGUACGUACAAGCAGUGGGAGCCCCACCACCAAAGCAUUUGCUGUACCGCGUUGACGGAGCGAAGCGACGUCAAACCGAUAAAACAGCAGUGUAAAGUGAGCCGCAGGGCGCUUUGCGCGACAGCGCAAAGGCAGGCGGUUUCGCGUAGCGAAAGCGAAUGCUUUGGGGUGGGGUGACUGCGUACCUUUUGUAUAAUGGGUCAGCGACUUAUAUUCUGUAGCAAGGUUAACCGAAUAGGGGAGCCGGAGGGAAACCGAGUCUUAAUUGGGCGUUAAGUUGCAGGGUAUAGACCCGAAACCCGGUGAUCUAGCCAUGGGCAGGUUGAAGGUUGGGUAACACUAACUGGAGGACCGAACCGACUAAUGUUGAAAAAUUAGCGGAUGACCUGUGGCUGGGGGUGAAAGGCCAAUCAAACCGGGAGAUAGCUGGUUCUCCCCGAAAGCUAUUUAGGUAGCGCCUCGUGAAUUCAUCUCCGGGGGUAGAGCACUGUUUCGGCUAGGGGGCCAUCCCGGCUUACCAACCCGAUGCAAACUGCGAAUACCGGAGAAUGUUAUCACGGGAGACACACGGCGGGUGCUAACGUCCGUCGUGAAGAGGGAAACAACCCAGACCGCCAGCUAAGGUCCCAAAGUCAUGGUUAAGUGGGAAACGAUGUGGGAAGGCCCAGACAGCCAGGAUGUUGGCUUAGAAGCAGCCAUCAUUUAAAGAAAGCGUAAUAGCUCACUGGUCGAGUCGGCCUGCGCGGAAGAUGUAACGGGGCUAAACCAUGCACCGAAGCUGCGGCAGCGACACUGUGUGUUGUUGGGUAGGGGAGCGUUCUGUAAGCCUGCGAAGGUGGCCUGUGAGGGUUGCUGGAGGUAUCAGAAGUGCGAAUGCUGACAUAAGUAACGAUAAAGCGGGUGAAAAGCCCGCUCGCCGGAAGACCAAGGGUUCCUGUCCAACGUUAAUCGGGGCAGGGUGAGUCGACCCCUAAGGCGAGGCCGAAAGGCGUAGUCGAUGGGAAACGGGUUAAUAUUCCCGUACUUGGUGUUACUGCGAAGGGGGGACGGAGAAGGCUAUGUUGGCCGGGCGACGGUUGUCCCGGUUUAAGCGUGUAGGUGUGUGUUCCAGGUAAAUCCGGUUCACUUUAACACUGAGGCGUGACGACGAGGCACUACGGUGCUGAAGCAACAAAUGCCCUGCUUCCAGGAAAAGCCUCUAAGCAUCAGGUAACAUCAAAUCGUACCCCAAACCGACACAGGUGGUCAGGUAGAGAAUACCAAGGCGCUUGAGAGAACUCGGGUGAAGGAACUAGGCAAAAUGGUGCCGUAACUUCGGGAGAAGGCACGCUGACACGUAGGUGAAGUGAUUUACUCAUGGAGCUGAAGUCAGUCGAAGAUACCAGCUGGCUGCAACUGUUUAUUAAAAACACAGCACUGUGCAAACACGAAAGUGGACGUAUACGGUGUGACGCCUGCCCGGUGCCGGAAGGUUAAUUGAUGGGGUCAGCGCAAGCGAAGCUCCUGAUCGAAGCCCCGGUAAACGGCGGCCGUAACUAUAACGGUCCUAAGGUAGCGAAAUUCCUUGUCGGGUAAGUUCCGACCUGCACGAAUGGCGUAAUGAUGGCCAGGCUGUCUCCACCCGAGACUCAGUGAAAUUGAACUCGCUGUGAAGAUGCAGUGUACCCGCGGCAAGACGGAAAGACCCCGUGAACCUUUACUAUAGCUUGACACUGAACAUUGAGCCUUGAUGUGUAGGAUAGGUGGGAGGCUUUGAAGUGUGGACGCCAGUCUGCAUGGAGCCGACCUUGAAAUACCACCCUUUAAUGUUUGAUGUUCUAACGUGGACCCGUUACCCGGGUUGCGGACAGUGUCUGGUGGGUAGUUUGACUGGGGCGGUCUCCUCCUAAAGAGUAACGGAGGAGCACGAAGGUUGGCUAAUCCUGGUCGGACAUCAGGAGGUUAGUGCAAUGGCAUAAGCCAGCUUGACUGCGAGCGUGACGGCGCGAGCAGGUGCGAAAGCAGGUCAUAGUGAUCCGGUGGUUCUGAAUGGAAGGGCCAUCGCUCAACGGAUAAAAGGUACUCCGGGGAUAACAGGCUGAUACCGCCCAAGAGUUCAUAUCGACGGCGGUGUUUGGCACCUCGAUGUCGGCUCAUCACAUCCUGGGGCUGAAGUAGGUCCCAAGGGUAUGGCUGUUCGCCAUUUAAAGUGGUACGCGAGCUGGGUUUAGAACGUCGUGAGACAGUUCGGUCCCUAUCUGCCGUGGGCGCUGGAGAACUGAGGGGGGCUGCUCCUAGUACGAGAGGACCGGAGUGGACGCAUCACUGGUGUUCGGGUUGUCAUGCCAAUGGCACUGCCCGGUAGCUAAAUGCGGAAGAGAUAAGUGCUGAAAGCAUCUAAGCACGAAACUUGCCCCGAGAUGAGUUCUCCCUGAGACUUAAAGUCUCCUGAAGGAACGUUGAAGACGACGACGUUGAUAGGCCGGGUGUGUAAGCGCAGCGAUGCGUUGAGCUAACCGGUACUAAUGAACCGUGAGGCUUAACCUUACAACGCCGAAG